GUUUCGUCCCGCCAUAGUCGGCGCAGCCGGCGGCUCUCCGCCCCCCGCGGCCGUUCAGGGCGGGGCGGGCAGGCUUCGGCCUUGCCGGUCCCGCCCCGCGUGGGCGGGGAGCUCCGGCCCCCGCCGCCAUCGCGCCAGCACCGAGCCCUCGCACCGGGGCAGCCAAGGACGGACCCCGCCCCUCAGUCUCUAAUGGCUCCCCCUCACAACAGUUGAAGCUGGAAGGGACCUCUGUCAACUACUUGAGUCCAACCACCUGCUCCAGCAAGCUCAGCACAUUCCCUGUGGCUGCAUCCAGCUGGGUUUUAACUAUCCUCAAGAAUGGAGACAUCACAACCUUUCCAGGCAGGCUGUUCCAGUGUUUGACUACCCUUCACAACGGAAGUGUUUUAAUUUAUACCCAAGUUUUCAAAUUAUAAGCUUCAACUUUCUAAAAUGAUAGCAUUACUGUACUCCUGGGAAAAAAAUCCCAAAGAACAGCAAGGACAAGUGUGAAUAUGAAAAAAAAAGUAAAAAGUUACAUGUAUAUAUAUAGGUAUAUAUAUAUAUAUAUAUAUAUACACACACGCCCCUGUAUAACUUAUCCCCCUUCCAUACAGAGUGCAUUAUGUAAACCUUUCAGCAUAACAUUAAAGGGAGUGACAAGUGAAAGAAUGGCAAUAUUUUCUUUAAUGAAGAAAAUAUGAUUUGUAACCUUGAAAGAGUAACUUUUUUAUCCAGUCUGGAGAACUACACCCAAACCUUAUACAUAUUAACAGCCAACCUCUGAGGUUUUCAUGUACAUUCAAAUAUUUCAGGCAGCAUGUUUAAUUUAGGAAUUUUUUACUGGUUUUGAUUUUAGAGACAAUUAAACUUUAAAGAAUAAAAAGACACAAAGCUUACAGAUCAAACAACUUGCCAGCCUCUGUACCAACACUCAAACAUUCUAAUUACUUUCCCUCUGUAUAGUACAAAACCAAGAUGCUAGAAGGGCUUAUGUAAUUAACUUGGUUGCUUUUCUAUUCCACGAAACCAACACUCAACAGUAAGAUACAAGUUUUGAGAGGCAUUUUAUUUUGACAACUAAAAACAGUUAAACAUUCAGAAGCAGUGUACAAUGAAACAUAACCCGAACCAAAUACUUGUAGUACAUAAUCCCAUCUUUUCAACUGAGGCCACAUUUUCCAACUUUCAAGGAAAAAAAAAAAAAAAAUGGGUAAAAGCCAUUGUAUCUCUUCUCUCUAAUAAAGAAAACACACUACAAUGAGUCUAACUGAAAUUGGAGAGACUGGAUCUUGGCUUGUACACUUCUUUGAAAAGACAUGAGGCAGUUAUGCUAAAAAGAUAGCAAAACUCUACUACUUGUCUUUUUUUUUUUUUUUUGGAUAGUCAGUUCUUAUACAGACAACACCGAGCCAGUUCCACCACAUUCUCAUCAAUUACUGCCCAUCUUUGCCUUACGUAGAGAGCGCACUCUGGAAGGCUGCUGUUCAUCACCGUUCACUUGAUUUAGUCUUUUAUGUCCAUAUGCUGCGUAACAGUUGCAAUAUUCAGGCCUUAACUUCAGGAGUUGAGCUGUACACUGAAUCUGAGUUUUCAGAGGCAAGAUCUUCUGCAAUUAAAUAAAAAGGGUGUUAUUUAACUUCACCUUAGAUAUAUAAACCAAAAGCAUGUUGCAGAGGUUGCUUAAAGACCAGGUCAGUUUGUUCUCCCAUUUAACCUGAUCCAAUUAUUCUAUGCCAUCUGUUCAGCUCUAGUCACUAGUCUGACACCACAUGGUCAUUUUCAGGGAAAUGCAUUCAAAGAUCUUUUCAGAAGAGUGAAAAAUGCCAGAAGGUACUUGGGGAAAACCACCUCGUCCAUACUAAAGCAUGCUACCAUUUCUGCUGAUCUUUUAAUGCUCAGCUGAGUUGAAGCUGGCAGUUCAGUGCAUUACCUAUUUCCUCCUCUGCAGUUCCUGGAAGGGUGGUCCGUGCUUUUGCUGCUUCUGCAUUCUCCUCUUCUGUAGAGGAGGGAGAAAAAACAAAAA